rnacentral:rRNA from 1 species
GUGGGGAAUUUUGGACAAUGGGCGCAAGCCUGAUCCAGCAAUGCCGCGUGCAGGAAGAAGGCCUUCGGGUUGUAAACUGCUUUUGUACGGAACGAAACGGUCCUGGUUAAUACCUGGGGCUAAUGACGGUACCGUAAGAAUAAGCACCGGCUAACUACGUGCCAGCAGCCGCGGUAAUACGUAGGGUGCGAGCGUUAAUCGGAAUUACUGGGCGUAAAGCGUGCGCAGGCGGUGCUGUAAGACAGGCGUGAAAUCCCCGGGCUCAACCUGGGAGUUGCGCUUGUGACUGCAGUGCUGGAGUACGGCAGAGGGGGAUGGAAUUCCGCGUGUAGCAGUGAAAUGCGUAGAUAUGCGGAGGAACACCGAUGGCGAAGGCAGUCCCCUGGGCCUGUACUGACGCUCAUGCACGAAAGCGUGGGGAGCAAACAGGAUUAGAUACCCUGGUAGUCC